AUUGAACGCUGGCGGCGUGCCUAACACAUGCAAGUCGAGCGGUAACAGGCGUAGCAAUACGUGCUGACGAGCGGCGAACGGGUGAGCAAUGCUUCGGAAUCUGCCCAAUGGUGGGGAAUAACCAGUCGAAAGAUUGGCUAAUACCGCAUACGCCCUUCGGGGGAAAGCGGGGGUCGCAAGACCUCGCGCCGAUGGAUGAGCCGAAGUCGGAUUAGCUAGUUGGUAGGGUAACGGCCUACCAAGGCGACGAUCCGUAGCUGGUCUGAGAGGACGACCAGCCACACUGGGACUGAGACACGGGCCAGACUCCUACGGGAGGCAGCAGUGGGGAAUAUUGGACAAUGGGGGCAACCCUGAUCCAGCGACGCCGCGUGUGUGAAGAAGGCCUGCGGGUUGUAAAGCACUUUUAGUGGGGAUGAAAAGCACAUUGCUAAUACCAGUGUGUCUUGACCUAACCCAAAGAAAAAGCACCGGCUAACCCUGUGCCAGCAGCCGCAGUAAAAC
rnacentral:rRNA from 1 species